AAAUAGCCUUGUUAGGUGAGGCUACUGUACCAGAGAUAAGCUACUGCCCAGAAACGUCCAAAGACGCCAACGGGUCAACAGGAAUUUUCGAAUUAAGGAAAUUUUUAACGUAGCUGGGUCUGACCCUAUGCUGUACAGUGCUGAAACUCAAUGAAGGGGUGCGG
rnacentral:sRNA from 2 species